rnacentral:rRNA from 1 species
CCUACGGGAGGCAGCAGUGAGGAAUAUUGGUCAAUGGACGCAAGUCUGAACCAGCCAUGCCGCGUGCAGGAAGACUGCUCUAUGAGUUGUAAACUGCUUUUGUACGAGGGUAAAUUCCGACACGUGUAUCGGGUUGUAAGUAUUUUAUGAAUAAGGAUCGGCUAACUCCGUGCCAGCAGCCGCGGUAAUACGGAGGAUCCAAGCGUUAUCCGGAUUUAUUGGGUUUAAAGGGUGCGUAGAUGGUUUGUUAAGUUAGUGGUGAAAGCCCGGGGCUCAACUGCAGCACUGCCACUGAUACUGGCGGGCUUGAGUGUAGUUGCGGUAGGCGGAAUGCGUGGUGUAGCGGUGAAAUGCAUAGAGAUCAUACAGAACACCGAUUGCGAAGGCAGCUUACCAAACUGCGACUGACGUUGAGGCACGAAAGCGUGGGGAGCAAACAGGAUUAGAUACCCGGGUAGUC